GAUGAACGCUGGCGGCGUGCUUAACACAUGCAAGUCGAACGGAAAGGCCCAAGCUUGCUUGGGUACUCGAGUGGCGAACGGGUGAGUAACACGUGGGUGAUCUGCCCUGCACUUCGGGAUAAGCCUGGGAAACUGGGUCUAAUACCGGAUAGGACCACUUCUUGGAUGUUGUGGUGGAAAGUUUUUUCGGUGUGGGAUGAGCUCGCGGCCUAUCAGCUUGUUGGUGGGGUAAUGGCCUACCAACGCGUCGACGGGUAGCCGGCCUGAGAGGGUGUACGGCCAUAUUGGGCCUGAGAUACGGCCCAGACUCCUACGGGAGGCAGCAGUGGGGAAUAUUGCACAAUGGGCGCAAGCCUGAUGCAGCGACGCCGCGUGGGGGAUGACGGCCUUCGGGUUGUAAACUCCUUUCGCUAGGGACGAAGCGUUUUGUGACGGUACCUGGAGAAGAAGCACCGGCUAACUACGUG
rnacentral:rRNA from 1 species